GCCAGGCGCGGUGGCACGUGCCUGUAGUCCCAGCUACUCAGGAGGCUGAGGUGGGAGGAUCGCUUGAGCCCAGGAGUUCUGGGCUGUAGUGCGCUAUGACCAUCGGGUGUCCACACUAAGUUCAGCAUCAAUAUGGUGACCUCCCGGGAGCGGGGGGCCACCAGGUUGCCUAAGGAAGUGUGAACCAGCCUAGGUCGGAAAUGGAGCAGGUCAAAACUCCCAUGCUGAUCAGCAGUGGGAUCACGCCUGUGAAUAGCCACUGCACUCCAGCCUGGGCAAUAUAGCGAGACCUCGUCUCU
rnacentral:SRP_RNA from 1 species